UCCUGCACACAGUUGGAAGGUAGCACAAUAUAGGGGAGAGGUUACUGAGCCAGGAGUCAGGAAACUGCUUUUUGGCCAGGCUUUGCUAUGUGACCUUGGGCCAGUCUCUUGACCUCUCUGAUCCUCAACACCUCUACUGGUUGGACAAAAGCCCCUCUGGCCUUGGAACUCUACAGAGGGCCCCAUCUGGAAAGGCUGCCUUUGCCCCUGGAACCCGAAGAUGGCCUCAUCAUCUAUGGAGAUCAUCCUAAAUACAUACUCAGCAACUGGCUUUUUUCACCGAGGGUCAGAUCAGAGCUUUUUCUCCAGAUGUUGGGAUCCCGGCAGCCUUCUCGAGCUGGAAGUGUCCUUGGAGAGCAUGAAGCCUGGCUCUCUCUCUUCUCACUGAUAAGGAAGCAGGCUCCGAUCAGAGGCAGGAAUCAGCUUGGUGAGGUCCCAGCCAGUUCAAGGCUGAGCUUCCUUCCCUAUGAAAUGGGAUGAACCACGGUCAUUGCCUCCUCCGCUGGGAAAUAAGAUACUAGCCUAAUGAAUGUAGCACCUGGCACGGAAAUGAGGGCUCAGUACUUGCUAUCCAGCAUGAUAUCUGAUGGGUCUUGGACCCCGCUGGAAGACUGGCCUUCAUCUGCCCAGAGCCCAUGAGCAGCUUCUCUGACCCAACAGAAGGAGACGGCUUACACGGGCAACUUCCGUCCA